AUUUAUAUAGUAUAAAGUAUAUUUGACUUCCAAUCAAAAGGUCUAUUAAUUAAUAGUAUAAAUA
rnacentral:tRNA from 2 species